UUGUCUGCAAAAAAAAGUAUGGCUUUUACUCAUCAUAUAGCCUCCCUUUCAACAACAGAGGUUUAGUCAACUCUUGGCUAAAGAGUAGAUUAAUAUGUGAUUCUUUUCUGAUAUUUGAGCAGACUUCCAUUUCAUUUAAAAAAGUUUUCCACAUUUUUAAGGGGAACAGUGCUAAGUAUUAGGUCCCAACUUUAACCUAGCUCUCUUACUUGAUAUGCAUUGACCCAUGGAAGGCAAAUGUCUCAUUACAUUUUUUUCUAACAUCCUUCACCACUCUGUUGCCAGGAAAUUUUAAUUAAAAAAAAAUAGCCCAAAUCUCUCAGACAGAAGCACUCAGUGCUCUUCACUGUAGAAUAAAUAGAAUGAAACAGUUCCAAGAACUGUGCUGACAUAACUGAUUAUGCUGGUAAAUAAACAAAAGAAAGAAACUGUGUUCCAUUAGGUUUCCAGCAAAAACCAAAUCAAAAUAAAAACUGUUUGCCAAGUGCAUCAUUUUCAAGCAGUUGUACUAAAAGGGUAUACAAACAACAGAGAGUUUCAAAAAUGUACUUGACAUUGACCCCUUUAAUUACAUUUACAUGACAUCUGUUGUGUCUCCAUAAACUAUCUUUCCUUUCUCUUCCAGCUUCACUGUAAGCUACAGUGGUACAAUUUAGAAAACUAAUUUGUUGGUGUUCUGAUAGACUAUAUCAUGAAUCUUGCUGGUAAACUCAAGAUUAUAAUUCAUUAACAGGUUUUCUUUGGUUUCCUCUUCACUGUACAAUGCAUAGAAUUGGGCAUAUGUGGCAGGAUUUCUUAAAAGUAUACAGAAAAUGAGAAAGAGAACUAAAGUGAUUGCCUCUGAAAAGGAUGAACUUCUUUAGAACAGGAAAAUGUAUUAAUAAUAAUUCCUGUUUGUUAAAAUACUCCAAAGAUUACCUCAGGAUAGGACAACUUUUCAGCUGUUGUCUUUUCUUCCAAUAGUCCAGGCUUUUUGAAUGACUGCCAAAUAAUUUAACUUUAGUUAUGUAAGUGGAUUUUUUUUAUGUACAAGUAGAUUAAGUACUUAAAACUCUGUUAUACUGUGCUUGACAGAAGCCCAGGAAAGUAAAUUUUAUAGGAAACUCUGACUUAAAAACGUAUAGCAUAUCAGUUACAAAUGCAUUGACGAGUAGAACCAAGAUAAUUAAGGAAUCUCUUUACUAGAGACAUAAGACUCUAAUGUUGUUUACCUAUGUGGAUUUUCUACAGAAAGCACUUUUUAAACAUGGUGUUACUAACUCGUGAUUUUAUAGCAGGUCUUGAAAUAUUUAGUAAUUUUUUUGUUUAAGCCCCAACUCUUGGAGGUUAUUUUUUUAAAGGUGAAUUUGAAGUCCUCAUGUCUAUGGAGAAAAGGUUAACAUGUGAAUCUGAAGGGCUCAGAAAGGGGAAGUCAAAUUAAGAGAACCCCAAAAUUAUUAUUUUUAAAAAUCUCAUAUGAUUUUAGGGACUCUGACUCAUGACAAUUGAAAGCUUGCAGCAGGUAAUAUUAUAAUGGAAAAUAAAGCAGAGGGAGGGCUUAUGGUUUAAUAUACUUAAGAUGACUCUUCCGCUCCAUUGCAAACACGUGCAAGGCAAAACAGGGCAGGCAGCAUUAUUAAUGAAAAGGAAUUAGUACUGUUUGUUCAGAUAACUUGUCAUUACAUCUUAGAAGAAUGAAAGAAGACAUGCAUAUUAAAAUGGCAGCAGAUUGUGACAGAAAGAUACAUUAUCUUUCAACCAGGGUUGGGUAUUUUCUUACAACAUUUUCUACUUUCUUGCAUUCAAUUAUUUUAGCAACCAGUUUUUUAGAUGGUACAUGGCAGGGAUGUGAAUAGGUAACCAGUUACCUGGUACCCAGGAGCAGCCUGCAGCCUGCCAUGGGUGGAGAACUGUUCCAGUCUCACAAAGGUCUGGAGCUCCCUUCCUCUCAUGCAGGGGGGCCAGAGUAGAAGCCACCUUGUGCACUGGGUUGCCAGCUCCUGCUGCCGGUCCCUGCAGGGGCGGGGUGGGGUGGGAUCAGGAUCCUGCUUAUUCCAUCAACUGGUUAAAACUAAGGUUUAUAUUUUACGUCCCUAAUACAUAUGAUGUCAUUACAAUACACAAUGCUUUCCUUAAAAAAAGUCUGUUCAAAACCAAAAUGCAGUUUUUACAGCAUUGUGAAGAGAGACAUAUGUACAAAAAUUUGAAAUAGUUAUUUUUCUUUUCAGUAUAUUUUUGUGCAUUUUUCCCUUUCUACUUUUUCCUGUAAACAGCGCACACAUGUGUGUGUACACCCAACUACACCUGUUUAAAAGAAAAAGAUUUUACAUGUAAGGGGGAAGAGAAAAUAAGUAACAAAAAACUGCAGCUGAACUUGUCUAUUUCAACAUAAUAGUUCUCUCUUAGGACAUGUCAAUACCACAACAUUGGGUAGAUGUUAUUUAAUUCAACUUUGAGCAUCUAAAUUAACAAAUGCAGUUUUGCAGGUCCCCACUAGGUAGCUGUAUUUGACAGAGCACAUCCUCUCUGCCAGGAGCUGCAUCAACUCAAGGGGUGCGUCUAGAUUGGCAAUAUUUAAACUUGCCAACUGUUUAUACUGGCCGCUUGAAUUUGCGCAAUAGCACUGACUUUGUAAUGUACAAAAUCAGUGCUUCUUGCGGAAAUACUUUCCCGCUCCCACUCAGGGAUAAGCCCUCUUACGCAAGAAUACUUGCACAAGAGAGCCAGUGUAGACAAGCACCUUAAUUUUUUGUGCAAGAAAGCCCAAUGGCUAAAAUGGCCAUCAGAGCUUUCUGGUGCAAAAUUGCGUCUAUACUGGCCACGGAUGCUUUUGUGCAAAAGCACUUUUUGUGCAAAAGUAUCCCUGCCAAUCUAGACGCUCUUUUGCGGAAAUACUUUUAAUGGAAAAACUUUUCCGUUAAAAGUAUUUCCGCAAAAUCAUGCCAGUCUAGACGCAGCCAAGGAGUGAUGCACUUCUUGGUAGCUAUCCCACAGUUCCUACAGUAGAUUGGAAGUCUGGGCUAUGGUCUCAACACCUCAGAGGAUGAAAACAUUGUUGCAAGUGAUUAUAGGUGCAUGUCAUCUGCCUCCCAUGUUUGUGGCUCAGAGCCAGCCUUGUCCUGUGGUACAAAUGUCUAAGCUCCUUUAUUUUCACAUGGCAUUGCUGUGUGUCCUUGGUAUAGGGCUUAUCCACAGGCCCGCCGACCAGGAGGGAACAAAGGAGGCAAUUGCCCCAGAGCUCAGUGAUUCAAAGGGGCCCGGGGCUCUGGCUGCUGUGGCAGUGGCAACAUCCAGAGCCCUGAGACCUUUAUAUUGCUGCCAGAGUGUCACUACAGUGCUCGGGGCAGCUCUUAGGGCUGUCUGAGGAGGUGGGGCAACCCCGACCCUUCUGCCUGAGGCCCCUGCCCUUCUAGGAGCAUGGAGCCAGGUUCCCCUCACCUUGCCCAGGGGUCUGGCAUGGCUAUCAGCUACACACUUUUGGCACACAUAUCGGCAUUUCUUUUUCUGGUUCGGAGCUCUCCCUGCAUAGACUUUCCCUUCCCUCCAUGCUGGAGGAAUUUGUGACCCUGAGCAUGCAGCUGUUAGUAAACUCUCCAUGCUGCUCCAAGGGAAAUGAACAUUCAAAAGUUAAUGGGGCUUUUCCUGCUCACCUGGCUGAAGAGCACUGAAGUUCAAAGUCCUCACCAGAGCAAUCACAACGGCUAACUCCAAAUAAGCAUAUACCGUGUUUACAGUGCCCUUAAUUUGAGGCAUGAAUGUCACCUCAGGCUUUACUUCACUCAUUAAGGUGGAGUAGAGGGGCUGAUUUUAAAAGCCCUUUAGGUCAACAGGAGGGACUGGGCAGUGUAGAUACACUCGACCGACUGCUGAAUAUGUUGACCUAAGCUAGUAGUGUAGACAAGCCCUUAAACUUGUCUGCUCUGGGAAAGAAGUAACAAUUAUGGCUAGUGUG